rnacentral:rRNA from 1 species
CCUACGGGAGGCUGCAGUGGGGAAUUUUGGCCAAUGGGGGCAACCCUGAUCCAGCCAUGCCGCGUGCGGGAAGAAGGCCUUCGGGUUGUAAACCGCUUUCGGCCGGAACGAAAUCGCCGGGGAGAACAUCCCCGGUGGAUGACGGUACCGGAAGAAGAAGCACCGGCUAACUACGUGCCAGCAGCCGCGGUAAUACGUAGGGUGCGAGCGUUACUCGGAAUUACUGCGGGUAAUUCGCUCGGAGGCAGGUGAAAUCCCCGGGCUUAACCUGGGAACUGCGUUUGUGACUGGCGGGCUGGAGUGCGGAAGAGGGAGGUGGAAUUCCACGUGUAGCAGUGAAAUGCGUAGAGAUGUGGAGGAACACCGAUGGCGAAGGCAGCCUCCUGGUCUAGCACUGACGCUCAUGCACGAAAGCGUGGGGAGCAAACAGGAUUAGAGACCCCUGUAGUC